UACGUAGGGUGCGAGCGUUGUCCGGAAUUAUUGGGCGUAAAGAGCUUGUAGGCGGUUUGUCGCGUCUGCUGUGAAAAUCCGGGGCUCAACCCCGGACUUGCAGUGGGUACGGGCAGACUAGAGUGUGGUAGGGGAGACUGGAAUUCCUGGUGUAGCGGUGGAAUGCGCAGAUAUCAGGAAGAACACCCGUGGCGAAGGCGGCUCUCUGGAACGCAACUGACGCUGAGACGCGAAAGCGUGGGGAGCAAACAGG
rnacentral:rRNA from 1 species